rnacentral:rRNA from 1 species
GACGAACGCUGGCGGCGUGCUUAACACAUGCAAGUCGAGCGGUAAGGCCCUUUCGGGGGUACACGAGCGGCGAACGGGUGAGUAACACGUGGGUGACCUGCCCUCAGCUCUGGGAUAAGCCUGGGAAACCGGGUCUAAUACCGGAUAUGACUCCAUGACGCAUGUUGUGGGGUGGAAAGCCUUGUGCGGCUGAGGAUGGGCCCGCGGCCUAUCAGCUUGUUGGUGGGGNGAUGGCCUACCAAGGCGACGAUCGGUAGCUGGUCUGAGAGGACGACCAGCCACACUGGGACUGAGACACGGCCCAGACUCCUACGGGAGGCAGCAGUGGGGAAUAUUGGACAAUGGGCGCAAGCCUGAUCCAGCGAUGCCGCGUGUGUGAAGAAGGCCUGCGGGUUGUAAAGCACUUUCAGUAGGGAAGAAAGCCGAGUGCUAAUAUCACUCGGUCUUGACGUUACUUACAGAAGAAGCACCGGCUAACUCCGUGCCA